GUCAAAACAAACUAAGAACAUCUGUUUUCUCUCUUUUUUCUUUUUUUUAUCCCCCUUCUCUUUCUCUCCUGUUUUCUUUCCUUCAUCCUCCCUCACUGCUUGUCAUCUCCGAGGAGAGGGAAAGGCAUCUCACAUGCUGUGGCCUUCCUUUACCCAGGACUUAAGUCCUUUAUCACCGAGCUCAGAGAUGGAGGGUGGCAAGAAGACCAGGAAGGCGCUGGCGGUGGCCAACAUUCCCCUGCUCUCUGCAGAACAGGAACGAUUCCAGGCUGUGGAUUUCUUUCUAAGGAGCUUGAGCAUGUGAGAUGCUGGGAGACCAGCCCAUGGAUUAGCAGAUACCCCAUCAAGCAAAGCAAGAAUUCAGAAGAAGGGAGAGUGGCCAAGGUGAGAGACCAGAGGGUGAGCCUGGCAGCAGGGUUAGGGAGACCCCAGGACACGGGCUGGAACCAGCUUGGCCGCCCAGUACCAGGACAACUGGACCCUGGGAGGUGGGAUCUGGAUCACUUAUGCCAAGUCUGCAAGACUGUUCCAAUCUUAAGCCUCUCCUAAUGUUCUUUUUCUGCCACCUUCCAUCAUAAUGAGUUAAAAAGGUCUCCUCCAAACCAGGCAUGAUAAAAGAGGAUACCCACCAAGUGGAGGGUACUUUGGGGAGAAAUAAGGCCAGAACAGAUAGACCCAGGGAGAAGCUGCCAUAGUCCUCAGGGGAGUGACGUAGUCCAGAGGAAAGAAGGAAACAGAUCUGGUCAGAGGGCAGCAGAUGGUCAGUGGGGCUUGGUGGUAUUUCUCACUAAGUUCUUAGUGGAAUGGAAAUUAGUGAGAAAUGUGUAUGAAGUCACACCACCUAAGUGGCAGAGCCACAUCUAACCCUGGACCGGGUUCAGAAGAUGAUGUUUCUGAGGCAGGUGUGGCAGUCCACUGUGAUGGCCCAGACAUAGAAAGCAGGAGCAGAGGAGCAGAAAUGUCACCUCACAUUUCACCCUUCUCCUGCUGCACUUUCCAGCCCAGGCCACUUUCCUGCUCUCACGCAUGACUGGCAUGUCUCCUGGGGCUGGCCCAAAGCCCUAGGGCUGGGCUUCUGGGCUCCUCCCUGACUGGUGCCCUCAUCUCUGGGACUCAGUUUCCUCUUCCACCCAGUGGGCUAAUGCCUCCUCCCACUCUGUUGGGGCUACAGUUGUGCAGUAAAGGGAGCCAGGAUUGGCCCAGCACCGAGGUGUCAGGCUCAGCAUCUGUGACCAUCUGUUCUGUGCCUUUAGGUGAUGUUGGGUUUUACCAAACUGAGGGCAUUACAGGAGCCAGCACAAAGGAGGACCUCCAUCAAUAAGUUUGUCACAUGAACACAUUAGUUAAUGGGUUUGAAUUCUUGCUUUGACAUUUAAUACCUGCAUGACUUCCAGCAAGGACACAGAGUCAUUCACUCCCUGGAUUUCGAGUGAAAAAUCACAGUGAAACAGACCCAGAUUCAGCAAAGGAGCUGGGCACUGAAGAACAGAAAUACUUUUGAAAAUACCAUCAGGGACGUGGGGUACUUGUGCAACCACACAGGGCCUUACACACUUGCUUUAAAUCUCUGUGAUCACCAUCUCGAGAUUCCUAAUAAUUUUAUCUUUAACUUGCAAGUGGCGUCCGCCAGGACAGCAGAGUACAGGCAUGAGAAUCCAGAAUAUGCGGGCUGUGUGCGCCCGAUGAUUCUUGCCGCCUCGCUUGGAUAGAGCAUCAGUGGUGUGGUGCCCGGUGGGCUCAGAUUCCCAGCCUAGGCUGGGGUGAGUUCAGCAGGACUCAAGGUGAGGGUAAGGCCAGAGUGUCACCUCUACAACUGAGUAAGGAGUGGAGGGUACUGACAGCCCUGAAAGGCCAGGCUUCCCAUUUUAACCAGGACAUUCAGCAAGUGCAGAAAGGAAUCAGGGGUUGUCUGAGACAUAUACCUGAUCAAGGAAGCUUACCAGAUCCUUCCUUUUGUGUCACUUCCCUAUAUUAGCCAACCACUCACCCUGGAAAUGGUGCAGGAGGAAAGGAAAAAAUAAAACAACUCAUGGUUCCCCUCCUUGCAGUCCCUCCUGGCUCACUGGUGAGCAGACCAGGAGAGUGGCGGGAGCGGACACGCAGCAGGAAGCCAAACGAAGGCUGUGAAGCUGGUUUGGUGCUGCUCCCACUCCUCCUGCAGGAAUGAAAUACGUUGGCCUGCGAGCGCCAUGAAAUACGAAUUGUGUAAUUCCCGUGACUCCGUAUACGAAUUAAAAGCUCCUAUAUUUGCAUUUAAAACUGGCAUUGCACAAUAUAAAGAUGAACGGUAAAGUUCAUGCUAAUAAUUUUAAAUUCUAAUUUUUCUUUACUUAGAGCCACAUUAAAUAGGAAAUAAAAUACACCACAGAAGAUGAGAGAGAGAGACUGCGGCAGAAAGGGAAAAGCUUUAUAUUUCUGUGUGUUUAAUGGCACUUUUUUUCCAGCUUUUUGAAUAAGGGCCCCACAUACUCGUUCUUCACGGAGCCCACAGCCUCUGCAGCCAGUCCGGCCGGGAGAAGCCAGGCGCCUCCAUGCUUCCCCUGGGCAGAGAGGCUGGGCUUCUGCUAGGUCACUGCAAACCCAUAGGAGGUGCCAACCAACACGCCCCGGCAGGAGAUGGGGUCCUGGGGACGCCUCUCACUCGGGGCUCUGAGGGUGGGGAGGAUCGGGGGCAGGAGCCCUGCAGAGGCCCAGGUGGGAAAGAAGCCGGGCCGAGGCAGGGGGAGGUGGGAGUCCACCCCGAGCACUGUCACAGGUGCCAGUCACUGUGCCCAGCACUUCCCGCACACGUCCCACGUCAUCCCACCGCGAUCCUGGGAGAUGAGGAUCGUCGUCCCCUUCCACAGAUGAGGACACUGAGGCCUGAGUGCUCAGGACCCGUCCCAGCUCCACGGCCAGUGAGGGCCAGAGCCGGCCGCGGAGCCAUCUCUCCACGAGCUGACUCAGGCAGGUCCUGUGACAGGCCUGGUGCCACCCACGGGGACAGAGACACCGUCAUGGCCCUCCAGCCCCCAGUGUCAUGGGGGACCUGAUGAGGAAGCACAGGCCCAGUGGGAGCCCGAGGGGGAGCCUGGGGGGGAGCAGCCGGUGGAUCCCACCUUGGGGAGGAGGAGGAGGAGAGCAUGGAAGAGGAGGGAUAAGGAGGAAGAGGAGGCUGCUGGAGGGAAUGAUCAUUACAAAUUUCCCAGGGGCCAGAGAGGUGAGGCUUGUUCGGAAACAUCAGGCCAAGCUGUCCCAGCUCGGGGAGAGUGACUCGUGGAGCGGAGGCUGACGGAAGGAAGGAGGCCCUGGCUCCUCCGGGAGGAGGAGGAUGAGAACUGAGACUCUGGAGCCAAACCCAGGCCCUGGAGCUCCAGGCAAGUCGCUGUUCCUUCCGGGCUGUUCCUUCAUUGGGUGGGGACAUGAUGAGGAACUGAGGCUCAGAGAAGUGGUGCAACUUGCCUGAGGCCACACAGCCAGGAAGCAGGGGAGCCCCUUUCUCUCCACCUCUGUGAAUAUCCAUAUCUCGGUGGUUUCCCCAACUGGACGCUGCUUAUUUGCACCAGAUGAGGUGGAUGUUUCCAGGGGCCCAGAACCUGCCUCACUCAGGCCCUCCUUGAUGUGCCCAGGAAGUGCUCUUGCUUCACAGGAAGUGCUCAUUGCUCAGUUGAACUGACCUGGGACCCAGCCCCAUCUGGAUCAGUGACAAAUCCACCACUGACAUCUGGAGCCCCAGCUCCUCUGAUGCUCAGAUCCCCAUGUCCCUCCUGCACAGGGCCAGGGAAAGGGCAGGGACUUGGGUCAGCCAGGCCUGGGCUCACACCCCUCCUGCCACCAAUGACCUGAGUGACCUGGGACAGGUCAGUUCCACCCUCAGGGCCCCAAACUCCCCUCCAGAAAAGUGGGAGCAGCAGUGUCCACCUGGGGGCAAAGUGAGGGCUGAUGAGUCCAGCCUGGGCGCAGCCCUGCACACAGUAGGCACUCAGUACCUGUGAGCCCGCCUCCCCUGCACGGGUGGGCAAACUGCGAGCUGCAUCCAGCUCAGAGCUGCUGAGUGAGUCCUUUAUCCUGCAGCCCUCCCCCUCUUCCUCCCCCUCCUCCCCCCAUGCCUCCCUCUACCUCCACCACCACCUCCCUCCCUCCCAGGCCAGUGACCCCUGCCCUCCUG